GAUGAACGCUGGCGGCGUGCCUAAUACAUGCAAGUCGAGCGAACAGACGAGGAGCUUGCUCCUCUGACGUUAGCGGCGGACGGGUGAGUAACACGUGGAUAACCUACCUAUAAGACUGGGAUAACUUCGGGAAACCGGAGCUAAUACCGGAUAAUAUAUUGAACCGCAUGGUUCAAUAGUGAAAGACGGUUUUGCUGUCACUUAUAGAUGGAUCCGCGCCGCAUUAGCUAGUUGGUAAGGUAACGGCUUACCAAGGCAACGAUGCGUAGCCGACCUGAGAGGGUGAUCGGCCACACUGGAACUGAGACACGGUCCAGACUCCUACGGGAGGCAGCAGUAGGGAAUCUUCCGCAAUGGGCGAAAGCCUGACGGAGCACCGCCGCGUGAGUGAGGAAGGUCUUCGGAUCGUAAAACUCUGUUAUUAGGGAAGAACAAAUGUGUAAGUAACUAUGCACGUCUUGACGGUACCUAAUCAGAAAGCCACGGCUAACUACG
rnacentral:rRNA from 1 species